UGCAACCUGAACUCAGAUGUGAUUACCCGCUGAACUUAAGCAUAUCAUUUAGCGG
rnacentral:rRNA from 1 species